AUUGAACUCUGGCGGCUUGUUUUACACAUUCCUGUCUAACUUCGGCGCGCGCUUCGCCCUGGAGGCGAUUGGCUAUCGUGUGCGUCAUGCAUCUGAACCUGCCCAGUAGUCGGGGGUAUCCCCGCGCAAGCCCGAUUAAUACCGCCUGCGCCCCUAGCGUUCCACCCGGGGACCCAAAGGCCUCGCGCUAUUGGAUCCGCCGAGGUCGGAUUAGCUAGUUGGUGGGGCAAAGGCGUACCAAGGCGACGAUCCGUAGCUGGUCUGAGAGGACGACCAGACACACGGGGACUGAGACAGGGCCCAGACGCCUACGGGAGGCAGCAGUGGGGAAUUGGGGACAAAGGGGGCAACCAUGAUCCAGCGAUGCCGCGUGCGGGAAGAAGGACUGCGGGUUGUAAACCGCUUUUGAGCGGGAAGAAAUCCUCUGGGCUAAUACCCCGGGGGGAUGACGGUACCGGAAGAAUAAGCACCGGCUAACUAAGUG
rnacentral:rRNA from 1 species